rnacentral:rRNA from 1 species
AUUGAACGCUGGCGGCAGGCCUAACACAUGCAAGUCGAGCGGAGCGGCGGACGGGCGAGUAAUGCCUAGGUAUCUGCCUGGCAGUGGGGGAUAACGUCCGGAAACGGGCGCUAAUACCGCAUACUAUCAGAUGAGCCUAGGUGGGAUUAGAUAGGUGGUGGGGUAAAGGCCUACCUAGGCGACGAUCCGUAACUGGUCUGAGAGGAUGAUCAGGCACACUGGAACUGAGACACGGUCCAGACUCCUACGGGCGGCAGCAGUGGGGAAUAUUGGACAAUGGGCGAAAGCCUGAUGCAGCCAUGCCGCGUGUGUGAAGAAGGUCUUCGGGUUGUAAAGCACUUUAAGUUGGGAGGCGUUACCAACAGAAUAAGCACCGGCUAACUUCGUGCCAGCAGCCGCGGUAAUUC